AAUCUAGUCAGCAGCCCAGUACUUAUUCGUGGGGAACCUUUUGAAUUAACUCCUCGGUAUUACGUAGCUGAGAAAUUUCUAACAGGUUUUGUGACACUCAAAGAGGCAAACUGUCACAUAAAAGGAUACGCCCAAGUGCUGAGGUUCAGUUUCCAGAGAUGGGGUUUUGCCAGGUCACCCAGGCUGGUCCCAAACUCCUGGCCUCAAGGGAUCCACCUGCCUCGGCCUUCCAAGUGUUGGGAUUACAGGUGUGAGCCGCCGUGCCUGGCCAUAAAGAGCAUCACAGAGGCUCCUGAGGCACGCCCACCUCCCAGCCCACCUCCUGCGUCCACCCCAGGGGAGGCCAGCCCCUGCUCGGCAGCCUGUUCCUAUUGUUACGUGUUCCCAUGUCCGGUCAGGAGGGAGCCUGGCCCGCACGCCAAAGGGUGCGUCUUGCUCUGGGGAGGCGCUUCUUCCUCUCUUCUCCCACUGCGCCAGGCCACGCAGCUGCCUCAACACCUUGCACGUCCAGGGCAGGGGCGGAAGACAGUGGCCCUGAUGUCCAGGGACAGACAACAGAGGGUGGAGCACACAGGUCCCCACUUGGUGACUGAGAUGUCCAGUUCCUGCUGCGUGCAUUGGUUGGUGACAGCAGCAGUGGCCACACUGGGAGAACCACACCCCUGCCAGCGGGAGGCCUGGCAGGUCACAGGAGCACAGAUGCAAGGGCAGAGCCAGGAGGGGACUCAGGAAGAACACUGCUUUCUCGCGGUGGCUGGAGAACCAGGCUUGGGCUGGCGGCAAUCCGGGAGGGAGCCCCAGCCUGUCCCCGGUGGCCAGGGGGCCUCAUCCUUAGUCAGGGGGCCUCUUCUGUAGCCAGGGGGGUGCGAGCAGGGAGUGGCAGCUGCUGUGUCACCUGAGGCUCCGGGAGCAGAGCCCCCACCCUGGAUCGAGUUCUGAGGCCUGAAACUUCCGUGGUUAGAUAGCGAUGGGGAGCCUUCCUUCAGGGAAGAAAGAGGAGAUGACAAGUUCUAAAGUACGAAGAGGAAUAUAAACAGAAACGUUAAAAUCAUCCCAUCACAAAGCUUGAAAAGCCGGAAAACACAAUUCGUGAGGCUCCUGCGAUGAAUAAGCAGUUGACCCACCGCAUUUCCCCAUUUCGUGGUAGCUUCUUCACGGCCUUCGUGGAAUGCCCACUUCCUCCUGCAGGGCUGCCGGGAUUUGUUUCUAACCCCGGCACCUGGAAGGCCGCCCCACCCCACCAACCAUCACAGCCUGCCGUGGAGAGGAAGGUCAUGGGCCGGUGUCAGGAGCGGCAUGUCCUCCCGCUGCAGUCCCCAUACCUCCCAGGCUGGGAGGACGUGUCUGCCUGGCCAUGUGACCUCUGGCCCUGGCCAUCCUGUCCCGGGACUCCCUGCUGCUCCUGCAGGCAGUGACGCUGUGACUGAGAACCCCAAAACGGCUCCCAGCAGAUGGAGCCAAGUGCGUGUCCAGCUCAGCCUCCCCUCCAGGGGACCCCACACACCCCCGGCUCCUCGGGGACCCUCCAGGUGAAAGGAGUGUUAUGAUGAACCUAGUGGAAGGGGCCACCUGUCCCAAACGAGGAUGGCUAAGUCUUCCUCGAGUUUUACGAGAUGACAGAACUUUGUGAGAGCAUUGGCAGGGUCCCAGAGCUCAGCCUUCCUGGUGGUUCUGGCACAUGUCCCCUGCCUGGGGACCGCAGAGUCCACGGCCUCGAUGGGCUGGCACUGGGCUGGGCGUCUCCUCUCCUGUGGGAGCCCAGAGACCUCGGCCUCUUCCUGCCUGGGGCUCAGCCCAAGAGCAGAACUUCUCAGGUCCUGGGUCACCAUGGCUAGAGCAGGCUCUCCAGGAGGAAGGACCAGCUCUGCCUGGAAUUCUCCAUUUCUACCAGGGAGGCUGAGCUGAUGGCAGGAGCCCAGACAGGGGCAUGCUUCAACACAGGCCAGAGGAACCAGCCCCCCUGCCCAGGGCCACCCUGUCACCUUCCAGACCAACUGCUCCCAGGAACAGGAUCUACUGCCUCCCACACCCCACCCGGCAGGGAGAGCUGCGCCCACAGACCCAGGUCCCGGGGGCAGCUGAGGGGGCAGACGGCGAAAAUGCAGGUUCCAGGUCCCAGCAGACUCACUGGGGGUCCAGAAACCAGCCUGAGCAAGCCCUCCGGGCAGUUCUCAUGAGUCUGGACCUGCCAGCUUGACCUCUGACCUGGCCCUGGCUGCAGGAC
ensembl:lncRNA